AGCAUGUGAUUUAAUUCGAUGCAAAGCGAAGAACCUUACCAGGGCUUGACAUGCCGUGAAUCCUCUUGAAAGAGAGGGGUGCCUUCGGGAACGCGGACACAGGUCCAUGGAGGGGCCUACUCCCAUUUCGGCUCUUAUACAUGCU
rfam:Nicotiana attenuata strain TT chromosome 11, whole genome shotgun sequence.